UGGGGCGUGGCCAAGUGGUAAGGCAACGGGUUUUGAUUCCGGUAUUCGGAGGUUCGAAUCCUUCCGUCCCAG
rnacentral:tRNA from 1 species